AUUGAACGCUGGCGGCAGGCCUAACACAUGCAAGUCGAGCGGAGCGGCGGACGGGUGAGUAAUGCCUAGGAAUCUGCCUGGUAGUGGGGGAUAACGUCCGGAAACGGGCGAUAAUACCGCAUAAUAUCAGAUGAGCCUAGGUCGGCUUAGCUAGUUGGUGGGGUAAAGGCCUACCAAGGCGACGAUCCGUAGCUGGGCUGAGAGGAUGAUCCGUCACACUGGAACUGAGACACGGUCCAGACUCCUACGGGAGGCAGCAGUGGGGAAUAUUGGGCAAUGGGCGAAAGCCUGAUCCAGCAAUGCCGCGUGUGUGAAGAAGGUCUUCGGAUUGUAAAGCACUUUAGGUUGGGAGGCGUUACCUACAGAGUAAGCACCGGCUAACUACGUGCCAGCAGCCGCGGUAAUAC
rnacentral:rRNA from 1 species